AUCAAGAGGCAAGGGCAUCGCCGGCUAGAGUUUGGCCUGGCUUGAGGUAAGUAACACUUCCAAACUUUGUUCUGAGGGUUCAAAACCCCGAACUAUGUAAUCUAUGAUUGCUAUUGAGGUGACGCAAAUGCCGAAUGACGGGCGUAUAGGCAUGCACCAUGAGAAUUGCAGCCUGGAUCAUUCCAUGGCCCCGCUUAGUAACUCUUUCUUGUCGAUAUCCGUGUUUUUAUCGUGUGACUAAGUAAAUGCGCUGUGGAAACAUGCUAGAUAUCCUGUUAGGGCUUCAUGCCGAUACUGUUGAGAGCCGAGAGGUCAUUUAUUGUUGUCAUGUCAUUAUCUUCAUUGAUAUUCUGUACUCAGUCUUGUUCAUGCAUUAUAUAUCAUGCCCCAGUCUCGAUUAAUGUUAUUUGGCACAUCAUAUCAUUGUUCGGGCUAGUAUCAUGACAUUGUGAGCUCGUAUGUGUGAGACUGGAGAGUGAUGACUGAGUGAGGCCGAGAGCCUGGUUGUGAGUGACAGUAUAUGGGAUCAGGCUGCAUGCUGCAACAGUUAUGUUGAUGAUUAUGAUAGUGCUUAGGCUGUAGGAUCUCCUCCGGAGUUUGUAACACACCCCCAGUGAGCGCAGUUGAUGAUAUUUAGGGAUGGAUCUUCCCUGGACAUGGAUCUUGACGAAGUAUUUAUACCUAGAGAUGGAUCUUCUCCACAAGGCUGGAAUAGCCUUCCUCGGUACCAGAUGACUGUAGUCAGUGAUAUAUAUAUUCCGGGAUGGAUUUUUCCUACGCCGGAUGGCCAUAUAUAGUACCGAGUGGUUGAGCACUUGUGAGUGGCGGUACACGAAAAAUUGAUCAUGCUAUUUGUGCAUAGGUACAUAGAGAUUUCCUGAGCUUUAUACUCCGUGCUGCUUAGGCUGCAUUUAUUUAGUGUUGCGUUUUUACUUGAAGUGCAAGCAUGUCUACUUUUCUGUAGAGUUUAAUGAUAUUAUUUGUUGAGGUUUGGUUCAUCACUACCUGUCAGUGCAUAGUUUGGACUUGUUACUUACUGAGUUGGUGUACUCCCAUUACCCCCUGCACCUUGUGUGCAGAUCCAGGUAUCUCGGGUCAUGGUAGCGGUUGUUGAUCAUUUCAGUGGUGGACUUUUUCCUUGGAGAUAGCGAGGUAGCUGACUGGCGAUCGCAGUCCCACCUUCUCGUUCCUUAUCUUCCUCUUAGUGUAUUUGUUGGCUAUUCACAGACUAUGUAGUCUUGUUUAUUUCAAACAGUUGUAGUAUUUUGCUCAUGACUUAGUGACACCCGAGGCCGGGCUUGUAUUUCCG
rnacentral:lncRNA from 1 species